UUAAUAUUCUAAAUAUUUACUAACAAGUAAGUAUAAUGCACUUUACUUACGUAUGCAUUGAAACAUUUUCUUUUCCCAGCUGCUUUCUUCGAGAAUACGAGAAAUUACAGCCAAAUACCACACACGUAUUCACCAUUGUUUCUUAUUUAAUUCUGUCUCUCUCAAUUAACGGCAAUACAGUAAAUAUUCAAACAAAAAAAAGCACCUUGCUACUUCCACGUCUGUUCUACGUUGUAGACUAGUAAGAUGGCGGCAGCUGAGUAAAGUCUGCUUCACUAGCGCCAAUGAUAAAGGUACGGCCAUUGCCGAUCUACUUACUAUAUAUCUGUGUCUUGUGCAACCACACCUUAACAUUAACCCUACUUUUAUAUGGGAGCAGAUACCAUUUUAGACCGUUCUUGCUCAUAUCAGUAUAUUAUUUUCUUAUUAUUACAGAGCUUCUCACUCAUUUACGGCAUUUCACUGCG
rnacentral:lncRNA from 1 species